rnacentral:rRNA from 1 species
CCCACGCCGGCGUCGGCGGGCGUAUUUCGCCUCACAGUAGGUCGCCGCGACCCGUUGCUUUUGGGGACGUCGAAGGCCCGGACGGAUUGGUACCCUACCGGCUGGGGAUGCGGCUUCGGCUUCUCCUCUUGUCCGGUGGGCGAAACCGCCGGUGUCCUGGCUGCCCUGCGACGGUCGUAGAGACGAGCCCUCCCCUUCGGGGGGGCGGCUCUCGCGGCGUGCAAAAGGUCGGUGAUCCACCCGACCCGUCUUGAAACACGGACCAAGGAGUCUAACAUGUGUGCGAGUCAGUGGGCGCACUAAACCCAGAGGCGUAAUGAAAGUGACACGGGUUCGGCUGUCGCCUCGUGUGGCAGCCGGACUCAGGGCCGAUCCCUCACCGGUUGCCCUCGCCUUCUCUCCCGCGUCUCGGUAAGCCGGGUGAGCUAUUUUCCCCGGCCGCUGCUGCGGGGCGCGGGGGGAGGCGGGGUGCGAUGGUGUCCGUAAAAAAGAGCCUGCUGUUGCAGGGGGGCGCAGGCCCGGGACUUGCCAGGACGCCGCGAGACUGUCACUUUGCUGUGAGGCUCUCGGGCCGAUCAGCGGGUCAUGCGUGCAGUCGGCAAGUACCAUGAGCAGACAUGUUGGGACCCGAAAGAUGGUGAACUAUGCCUGGCCAGGAUGAAGCCAGAGGAAA